UGCAGGAUUUAAUAUAAGUACGUGGUUUUAUCUUUCCUUGACGGUAGACAAUUUCUGCUAAGAACUCAAUAUUCUUUUGUCCUUAUUCUAUUUGUAUACAAGGAUAAAUGUUGUCACUUGAUGAUAGGAUACAAGGUUUAAGUGCAUGAUGAUGAGUUGUACUGAACUGAUUCAGAAUUUUACUGGCAGGUGUCACAUGAUUCAUAAUUUUAAAUUUGAUUUUUUUUUCCG
rnacentral:misc_RNA from 1 species